rnacentral:tRNA from 1 species
GCCUAGAUAGCUCAGUUGGUAGAGCACAUGUCUGAAAAACAUGGGGUCCCCAGUUCAAGCCUGGGUCUAGGCACCA